GGAGGCUUCAGUUCUAGUUUCCUGGAAAGACCGAAAGCUAGAGGAAGAGGGGCAAUGAAGGCACUUACAAACUUCCUGCUUAUUAGCAUCUUCAUCCUCUGGGUGGAACUGCCACCUGCAAUGUUAUAUGGAAAAACAGGCAAACCUGGUAUCUGCCCAGUAGAUGCUUGCGCCUGUCUUGGUCCUCUACCAGAUGCAUGCAAAAAUGAUUAUUCUUGUAAAGGAAAUAAGAAAUGCUGUAUAUAUUGUUGUAAAAUGCAAUGUAUGCCACCAGCAUAAGCAAAUUAAUUUCCUGAUGGGCUGUGAAAUGAAGUACGGUAUCUCUCGAAAAUGACUCCUUCCCUCCCUCUAUUGGCUUUAAGAAAAAAAUCAGGGAAACUUCUGAAUAAAUU